UCCGAAAGCACGCGCCGCCCAGGCUCCAGCCUGAGCGAGCGUUACCGCUGGCCUCGCUCGGCUGACCUGACGUAACGCCGCUGCUGAGGUGUCCCGGUGGCUGCGACAUGUGUCCACCAGUGGCAGUGGGACGUACGUCGGCGGAGACCUCUUCUUCCUGGUUAUCCCCUCCUCGUACCUCGUGAGGCGCAAGACAACUGUACUAGUCCUGCACAAACCCCCGCGGCGACCAGGGUCAGAGCAAGAACAGUAGAUCGAACAACGCGUCUGCCCAUACUCCAGCAAUGGCGGCGUGACGGCGUCCCCCUCACUCCUCGGCUGACAAUCCUCCUCUGGUCAGCUUGGUGGCUCUUUCCAGCAUGCGUGAUCUCAUGGUGAUAAUGCGGCGGUGGCCUGGCGUAGCGUCGUCCCUUCACCGACAAGCGGCGACUCGUCUCAUGAAGCGGACUACCAAUCGAUCCCAAUCCUUGAUAUGGGGCCACUUGGUGCAUGUUUGCAAGGAGUUACGGUGGUGUCCUGCUAUGGCGUUCUUUGGAGGACACCCUAGUGGUUUCGUACAAAGUACUGGUGGUGCAGCUCUCGGAAGCUAGAUUCGUGGUCAAGAUGAUGACUAGAAUACUGCUACUUUAUCGGUGCUAGCGCACGCUCUGGCCUUUACUGGUCAAAUCCAGCAACGACUUGCGUGGUGUCGUCGUCAUGCCAAUGUUUUUCAUUGGUUGGAUGCGGCAUCCAGAAUGAAGAUCCUCUUGUCUUCACCGACACAUACCGGACAUUUGCAAUGUCGGUGCCAGUGAGUUUAAUUGUCAUAUCUUUUGAUCUGUCAUUUCUAUCUCUUUCAUGUACUCAGUUGUUGGUUAUUUGGUAGUAUUGUUGUUUUGUAUCAA